rnacentral:rRNA from 1 species
UACGUAGGGUGCAAGCGUUAAUCGGAAUUAGCUGGGCGUAAAGCGUGCGCAGGCGGCUUUGCAAGACAGAUGUGAAAUCCCCGGGCUUAACCUGGGAACUGCAUUUGUGACUGCAUGGCUGGAGUGCGGCAGAGGGGGGAUGGAAUUCCGCGUGUAGCAGUGAAAUGCGUAGAUAUGCGGAGGAACACCGAUGGCGAAGGCAAUCCCCUGGGCCUGCACUGACGCUCAUGCACGAAAGCGUGGGGAGCAAACAGG